GUCCACGCCGUAAACGAUGGGUACUGGGCGUCGGGGGGAGCGACCCCUUCGGUGCCGUCGCUAACGCAGUAAGUACCCCGCCUGGGGAGUACGGCCGCAAGGCUGAAACUCAAAGGAAUUGACGGGGGCCCGCACAAGCGGUGGAGCAUGUGGUUUAAUUCGAAGCAACGCGAAGAACCUUACCUGGGCUUGACAUGCACGGGAAAGCCGGUGGAAACAUCGGCACCUCUUCGGAGUCCGUGCACAGGUGCUGCAUGGCUGUCGU
rnacentral:rRNA from 1 species